GGACAUUAUUGAAAAUUACUGGUGAGGGUUGUAGCUGGCCUUUUGGGGCAUGUGCACGCCUGAGCCUUUAAUCCCACACACCUGUGAACCUAAUGUAAGGGCCCGGUAAAAAAAAGGCCCCUACGUCUUAUCAUCAACCCCCCCAUGUGUAAUAGAAUGUAAAUUGAUGUCCUCGCCUUAAAAAANCGUUGAUANAAAACUAUCACUUCACACGGAUUCUUGCUCUCGCAUCGAUAAGACGCAGCGAAUGCGAUAGUAAUGUGAUUGCAGAUUUCAGUGAUCAUCGAUCUUUGAACGCACCUUGCGCUCCUUGGUAUUCCGAGGAGCAUGCCUGUUUGAGUGUCAUUAAUUCUCAACUCCCUGAUUGAUUUCUCGGAGCUUGGACUUGGAGUGUGCUGGCGAAGGUCGGCUCCUCUGAAAUGCAUCAGCGGAAUUCAAUCUUUUGGCUUCUGAUGUCAGUGUGAUAAUGAUGUUGCGCUGUCGUCCGAGGCUCAAAGGUCCGCUUACAAUGGUCUUUGGACAACUUUAUAUCAAAUUUGACCUCAAAUCAGGUAGGACUACCCGCUGAACUUAAGCAUAUCAAUAAGCGGAGGAAAAGAAACUAACAAGGAUUCCCCUAGUAACUGCGAGUGAAGCGGGAAAAGCUCAAAUUUAAAAUCUGGCGGUCUCUGGCCGUCCGAGUUGUAAUCUGGAGAAGUGUUUCCGC
rnacentral:rRNA from 1 species